rnacentral:sRNA from 1 species
GCUGGGCAAGGUGGUGCAUGCCUGUAAUCCCCCUGGCUCUGGAGGCCGAGGCAGGAGGAUGGUGAGUUCAAAGCCAGCCUCAGCAACUCAGUGAGGCCCUAAGCAACUCAGCGAGACCCUGUCUCUA